UUGAGUCAUGGAUCCCUUUGUCAGUCUGGUGAAACCUAGACUCCUCAGAAUACUGGUUUUAAGCCAUCAAACAAAGAACAUAGGAUUUUGAAAGGAAACCAAUUAGACUGAAAUGCAGUUAUCAAAAUAUUUUUAAAAAUAAGUUCAUGGACUCUAGAUUAAGAACUCCCACUCUAAGUAUUAAAGUAAUCUUCUGAUGAUGCUGUGUGGACCAGAACCUAUAAUAUUCUAGACCUCAAACUGGAAGAGACUUUAGAGGCCACUUGACCAGGACUCCUCAUUUUAUGGAACAGGAAACUGAGGUCUAGAAAAGAGAAUUGACUUCUCCAUGCUUACAAAACUUUGCAGGAUUUCAUCAUUUUCAAAGGAGAACUAGUCACGCGACUGAUAGGAAGUGCAGCCUGGGAGCCUGAGCCUGUCAUUGCAAAGCUUAUAGGACCUACCUGACUCACUCAAAAGAAACUGGAUUCUUUGUGGUACCGAAAAACUGGAAACAAAGUAGAUGCCCACUUGGAAUAUUAUUAGACAGUAAGAAACAAUGGAUAUGAGGAUUUCAGAGAAACACUGGACAAUUUGUGUGACCUGGAAGCAAUAUGCAUAAUGACUGCAUUCAUGUAAGUGACAACACUAAAAUGAAGCCACACGCUGAAUAAUUGUAAUGAUGAAUCUAAGCCCUGGAAAAGAGAUGAAGUAGUGUCCCUUUCCUUUCAGUAGGAAGGUGAUGAACUAGGCGUACAGAACAUUACAUAUACAAUCAGACAUCGUCAUUGUGCUAUAUGAUUUUGCUUGGUUGUUUUUCUUUGUUAUAC